GUUUGUGAAUUGUGAGCUCUCAGAGGUUCCUGAUGCCGUCCAUGCCUUUUCUUCUGCCAUCAUGGAUUCUACCCCUCUGAAACAGUCCUCCUAACAUGUUGAUGCAGCCUGACCUGGAUAAUCACGAUUACCGUUAAUGCUGAAGAGAGCAGACAUCACCCUCUAUGUGACAGGCCUGGACAUCUGCAGUCCUACCUUUUCGAGGCAUAAUGACAGAGUAUUCUGAGCAGUUCAGAAGGGGUAGGUCGUUCUUGAGGCACUAACACUCGGAAUCAUGGGUAAAGCGAACACUUUGCUUUCCUCUAAAAUUCAGUGUGCAGUUAGUUGGCUCCGUGCUUGGUGUCUGUGGCACCACCAUACAUUACGGCAGAGAGCACAGUUAUUUAACUCAUGGUGGCUGAGAAGCAAGGAGAGACGAGAGCAAGCCAGGACCCCACUAUCUCCUUUAAGGAUACACCUACAAUGACAUAACAUCCUACCUAGGUCCCACCUUACAUAAAGUUUGUACCAACUUUGAAUUGUGCCAUCAGGCUGGGAACCAAACCUUUUACAUGUAAGUCAUUGGGGCUUGGUGGGGGGAGCAGUUCCAAAUUGCUACAGGAAGUAAGGAAGGCCCGAUGUUACAAGGCAAUGAGUCUUAGAGACUAUGGAAAUAUUGGUAAAGGAGAAAUUCCCCUAACCCUGUAGAUAUUGUAGGUGAAGUGAAGUCUGGCCUCCUAUUUGUUAAAGGCAUUUAGAAGUCUACCUUGACAUUCCUUUUAAAGACCCCCCACCUCUCUGCCUGCCACAGCACGUAGGAAACACUUCAGAGUUCAUUACAAAUGACCACCUCCCAGAGCACUGGUUAAGGACAACCAGACAGGAGGAAUUACAGUUGUUGCAUCAAAAAUAACCUUUUUUGAUAUUAUUUUUGAUCAAAGUGAAGUGACUAUAGCAAUAACCUUUCAGCUGGGAACUGUUAUGGUUUUCUUUCUUCUUAGGCACCUUCCUUUGAAACACCUUGUCUCUAGGACUCUAAGCCAACUUCUCCUUUGUCAGCACCUUUCAAAAGAUGAUUUCACAGAAACAGUACUAACACGAACCCUGGACACCCUGUUUCUUCUCUAUUUUGUUCAUUCUUGGUGUUUAUCCUCCCCUGAGUUGUACAGGAACCAAUACCACUCUUUCUCUACACAAGGGAAAAAAAAUCCAGCCUUCAGUCUUUACCUGGUGUGUGCUUCCAACACAUGGCAAAAGUUCAAAACUCCCCUCUCUUGGGAAUAGCUAAGUCCAUCACCUGCCUCGGUGCAUGCCUAUAUGCCACAUGUCUUUAUCCUUCCUGUGAGUCUAUAAGACCAGUGGAUAAUUUCUGAGUUUACCUACAUCGGGAAAACAAGAGGCCCACUCAUUUUCUCAUUACAUUUCUCCUAUUGUACUGGUCUGACAAAACCACCUCUGUCCUUACCCUAUUCAUUUUGUCCUUUGCAAUGGUGUUCGGAUUAUGCCAGAGUGAGCAUUUGUACAAAAAAUCAUGAGAUGCUAUGGUUUAGGUAAGUGUAUUUCAUGAAAACGUCAGGUAUGCAUAUGAUGGGUGUUGUUUAAGAUCUGUAUGUAAACAGUUGAAAGACUUUUGAGACAAUUAACUAUCUUGCAUGCUUGUAGCUGCAUUGUAUGCUCAAAUCCUCAAAUAGGAAGGCAUGAUGACUCCAUGGUGUCUGUCCUCCUGUGCCAAUUGGUAGAUUCAACCACAUUUCAAGUGAAGUGAAACUGAGAAAAAACAAAUAUAUAAAUCUGUCAAUAGAAGAUGUUGCUAUAUUGAGAAUCUUCAGAGACUUUUGAAGAUAACCAGGCUAGGUUUUCUUGAGCAAGGAUUUUUCUAACAUUUUGAUAUUAAAGCAAGCAGAGAUGGGACUAUGGGAAGGGCCCUUACAGAGACUGAAGCUGCGGCUUCAAUUUCAUCAAUGACAUAGACCUUCCCAGUGACUUAGACUCCCUCUGAACCUAGUUCACCAGAGUCUUGGUUGUUUUGAUUUUCUAUAACCAUCCAAACGUUAAUAAAAUCCAAA